CUGAGCAUAACUGGUUCCUUUCUUCGUGGGGGACUGGUGCCCAGUGGCUGGAGAUAGCCACUUCCUUGUUAGUGUUUACAGCCUGUUGCUUGUGUACAUUACCCUAUGGGACCUUUAGAGACACUU
rnacentral:snoRNA from 1 species